rnacentral:misc_RNA from 1 species
GAUGAAGAACGCAGCGAAAUGCGAUAAGUAAUGUGAAUUGCAGAAUUCAGUGAAUCAUCGAAUCUUUGAACGCACAUUGCGCCCGCCAGUAUUCUGGCGGGCAUGCCUGUUCGAGCGUCAUUACAACCCUCAGGCCCCCGGGCCUGGCGUUGGGGAUCGGCGGAGCCCCCGUGGGCACACGCCGUCCCCCAAAUGCAGUGGCGGUCCCGCCGCAGCUUCCAUCGCGUAGUAGCUAACACCUCGCGACUGGAGAGCGGCGCGGCCACGCCGUAAAACACCCAACUCUUCUGAAGUUGACCUCGAAUCAGGUAGGAAUACCCGCUGAACUUAAGCAUAUCAAUAAGCGGAGGA